rnacentral:sRNA from 1 species
ACACACGAGAGGAGGUGGUCCGAAGUUGUAUAGCAACAGGACUCGUGAGGUGGCUGUCCGAUAGGACCGCCUUUUGGUGACGCCUAGUCGUAAACCCAGGCAGCCACCCGACCCCCGGACUUCGAGCGCUGGUCCCGCUCGGCCUGCUCGCGCAGGAGUCGUCCGGGGGUUGUCCCGU